UACAAAGGUCUUUUUUUAAUUUAAAUAUUUACUUUAAAAUUAAAUCUAUAAAGGGAUAAAAAGGCUUGAUUGUAAGAGUUACUACUCGAGCAAGGACGAAAGUCGGUCUUAAU